rnacentral:rRNA from 1 species
AACGAACGCUGGCGACGCGUCUUAAGCAUGCAAGUCGAACGGCAGCACGGGGCAACCUGGUGGCGAGUGGCGAACGGGUGAGUAACACGUAGGUGAACUGCCCUUGGGUUGGGGAUAGCUUGUGGAAACACAGGGUAAUACCGAAUGAGGUCCGGAGAUUAUGAUCACCGGAUGAAAGGGGCUACGGCCUCGCCUGAGGAUGUGCCUGCGGCUGAUUAGCUAGUUGGUGAGGUAAUGGCUCACCAAGGCGACGAUCAGUAGCCGGCCUGAGAGGGUGGACGGCCACACUGGGACUGAGAUACGGCCCAGACUCCUACGGGAGGCAGCAGCUAAGAAUCUUCCGCAAUGGACGAAAGUCUGACGGAGCGACGUCGCGUGGGUGAUGAAGGCGGAAACGUUGUAAAGCCCUUUUAUAGACGAGGAAUAAGCUUUGGAGGGAAUGCCAGAGUGAUGACGGUAGUCUGUGAAUAAGCCCCGGCUAAUUACGUG